CCUACGGGAGGCAGCAGUGAGGAAUCUUGCACAAUGGACGAAAGCCUGAACGAGCAACGCCGCGUGCAGGAUGAAGGCCUUCUGGGUGGAAAAUGGUUUUUUAAUCGAGAAAUAUGAUGGUAACUUAUGAAUAAGGAUAGGCUAACUACGUGCCAGAAGCGGCGGGGAUACGUAGGAUACGAGCAUUAUCCGGAGUUACUGUGUGUUAACAGGUUCGUAGGUGGGAUAAUAAGUAGAUAGUGAAAUCAGGUGGAUCAAACAUUCAGACUGUUAGCAAUACUGUUAAGCUAGAGACUGUUGGCGGUAAGUGGAAUGUCUAGUGUAGGAGUGAAAUGCUUAGAGAUUAGACAGAACACCGAUAGCGUAGGCAGGUUAC
rnacentral:rRNA from 1 species